ACAGGUGAGCUCACUCUCAGUCGGUCUCCGCCCACCGCUGCCGCACGCGACGCUGUGCCCAGGAGUGCACCGCACCGCACCUGCCCAGCCGCCCAGGGUUCACGCCCGCGGCCCGCGGCCCGCCGAACCUUCACCGUCCCCCGCCCCGCCUUGCUGAAUUCCAAAGUCCAAACCGACGAGCGCAGCGUGGUGACAUUGGUGGUCUUCGAAAGUUUUGGGCUGGCUUAUUUACUUACGGGACAAGACCCAGCUAGCUCGUAGCCCAUUAUCUGCUAGUAGCCUGGCAGUUCCGACGCUGCUUGCGGCGGCGCUUGGCAAGGCCGACAAACGGCGACCAGGCAGGCGAGCUCGUCGCCUCGGGGGCAGGGAGGACCGGAGCCCCUCGCCUCGGAGGAAGGGAGGACCUGAGGUUUCAGUGUUGGGUGACAGUUCCCCAUAUCCUCCAAGCGCGUGCUUGCCUGCAGCAACAGAUCGCUUGUCAACUCCAUUGGCUUUAAUGGGUGCACCUUCACAAAUAUUUGUUGGGAAGUCAAAAGCCUUCUGCAUUGCCAAAAGCUCUUUUCCUGAACACAAAUAUGCCCUUUCAAUUUUAAUCCCACGACUCUCCCAUUGCCAUAUUCCCCUCCUCCUCUCCCAGUCAAUUGUUUCAGGUCUUCUCCUCAAGCUCCCCCUUGUCCACUCUGUCCUCCGAUCUCUCUCUUUGGGGCAUUUCCCAUCUCUAUCCCUCGAUUUACUCGCCCUGCUACGCCAUUCUGGAUGUAUGACCCUCGAUAGCUACUCCCUCAACAUUGCUUUCUAUGCCACUGCCCGCCUCCCAUCUGUUUCUGUUGGUGCCCAGCUUCAUUCCCUUUCUGUCAAACUUGGCUUGGUUUCAGAUACAUUUGUCCUUAAUUCUCUUAUCAACAUGUACUCGUCUUGUAGCUAUCCAACAACUGCAAGACAAGUUCUCGAUUCUGCUCCCCAAGGAGCUUGUGACACAGUUUCUUGGAACACAAUAAUUUCUGGAUACCUACGAUGUGGGAUGCCUAAUAAGGCUCUGCAGGCUUUUGGCCAGAUGGUCAAGGAGCCAGUUAGACUGGAUGAUGUCACAUUGCUGAACGCACUCGUUGCUUCUGCCAAGGCAGGCAAAGCGAAGGUCGGGAGGCUGUGUCACAGUUUAGUUGUGGUGAACGGGGCUGGAAUUAAUUGUUAUAUGGGAUCCUCUCUGAUUAGUAUGUAUGCCAAGUGUGGAUUGGUUGAGGAUGCCCGCAAGGUAUUUCACGGAAUGCAUGAGAGAAACGUCGUUUGCUGGACAUCAAUGAUUUCUGGGUACACACAGUUGGGUAAGUUUAAAAAGGCUGUCGAUCUUUUCAGGGAUAUGCAAAUUACUGGAAUGAAGGCUGAUGAUGGGACGAUUGCUACUGUUGUGUCUUCAUGUGCCCAAAUGGGAGCACUUGACUUGGGACGAUAUGUUCAUGCUUACUGUGAUGUUCAUGGUUUAGGGAAGGAGCUUUCUGUUAAGAAUUCACUGAUUGAUAUGUACUCGAAAUGUGGGGAUAUAACUAAGGCUCAUGAGAUAUUCUGUGGAUUGACCAAGAGAGAUGUGUUUUCUUGGACGGCAAUGAUAAUGGGCUUUACUGUUAAUGGCUUAUGUAAUGAAGCACUUGAUUUGUUUGCUCAGAUGGAAGGAGAGGGUAAGGUUAUGCCAAAUGAGGUCACUUUUUUGGGUGUCCUUACUUCUUGUAGCCAUGGAGGGUUAGUGGAACAAGGGUUCCAUCACUUCCAGCGUAUGUCCAUGGUCUACAAUCUUGCACCGAGGAUUGAACACUAUGGAUGCAUGGUUGAUCUCUUGGGACGUGCAAAGCUAUUGACAGAGGCAGAACAAUUUAUUAACGGGAUGCCUAUUGCCCCAGAUGUUGUAGUAUGGCGGUCUUUAUUGUUUGCCUGCAGAGCUUGUGGAGAGGUGGGACUUGCAGAAUUUGUAGCAGAAAGGAUCCUAGAACUGGAGCCAAAAAAGUGUGCAGGACAUGUUUUACUUUCUAAUGUCUAUGCUGCCACAUCAAGGUGGGUUGAUGUGAAUAAAUUGCGGACAUCUAUGGACAGUUGUAGGAUGAGUAAGCAACCUGGAUGCUCUUUCAUUGAAGUGGACGGAUGUGUGCACGAGUUCUUUGCAGGAGAUGAAUCACACCUUGAGAUAGAUGCUAUAUAUAACAUUCUUUUGGGGAUCAAUGAACUGUUAGUAGCAGAGUCCUUGUAUGAAAGUUGUGAUAUUUUUUUGUCAAUUAAGUAGCUUUAUGAUCAAGCAGGAGCUCUGAUUAACAGAAUUUUUUGAAUUCUCCCCAAAUUGAAGGGUGCACCUGAAGGGAGUUAUGGAUCGGAAGAAUCAAACUCCUCAAGGUCAAAUAGCACAGGUGGUUGUGGAAUUUCUUGAGGUAGCAAUCAGCUGCAUCGUCUUCCUCAAAGGCUUCUAUCCUCCUCGUGCCUUUGAGAGGAGAAGGUACAUGAAUGUGGUGGUCCAGAAAGCACUGCAUCCUGAGCUUACUAGCUAUAUUCACUCUGUGACUUUCGGUCUUCUACCUUUCAUUCAGAAGGGAUUGGUAGAGAGGGUCGUGGUCAUCUUCUAUGACAAAGGGCAUGUACCGACCGAGAAGUUCGUCUUCAAGCUUGCAGUCAACCAGUCAUACCGUUCCAAGUUAGAGGAGGCGAACCUGGAGUUCGCUCUGCGAGCAUUCUUGAUCAAGCUGACUGUUGCUGAGCCUGUUACCAGACCCCUUCCACCAGAUGGUAGCUGGGAGGUGACCGCCUACUUCCGGUCCCUCCCCGGCGACGGUGACCGAGAAGCUCAGCUGUGGAUUCCUACGGACGCCGAGCUGUGGAUGCAGCCUCCGCAGAUCACCCCCAUCAAGUCAGUCAGCUGUGACCCUCUGACGAUGCAGCUCUACUUGGAGCACCCUAGCGUCACGGAACCGAAGGAGCCACCGGCAUAAUGACAGGAGCCUGCACCUGUGGGCUGUGAUACACUGCAAUGUAUAGAAUUUUUUUUUGCAAGGCAACUUUGGCACGAACCCUCGAGUCAGUGAAACCUUUUUUGUUCAGACAGAGGCAAGGAAACUACUUCUAUCCAGUGGCUUCAA